UACGGAGGGUGCAAACGUUGCUCGGAAUCAUUGGGCGUAAAGCGCACGUAGGCGGCGCGUUAAGUCGGGCGUGAAAUCCCCAGGCUCAACCUGGGAACUGCGCUCGAAACUGUGGGUCUAGAGUGUCGGAGAGGAUGGCGGAAUUCCUGGUGUAGAGGUGAAAUUCGUAGAUAUCAGGAGGAACACCGGUGGCGAAGGCGGCCAUCUGGACGACAACUGACGCUGAGACGCGAAAGCGUGGGGAGCAAACAGG
rnacentral:rRNA from 1 species